GCCCAAGUGGCGGAAUUGGCAGACGCGCCGCACUCAAAAUGCGGUUCUUCACGGAGUGUGGGUUCGAGUCCCACCUUGGGCA
rnacentral:tRNA from 1 species